rnacentral:rRNA from 1 species
UACAGAGGGGGCAAGCGUUGUUCGGAAUUACUGGGCGUAAAGGGCGCGUAGGCGGCCCGCUAAGUCGAACGUGAAAUCCCCGAGCUCAACUCGGGAACUGCGUCCGAUACUGGUGGGCUUGAAUCCGGGAGAGGGAUGCGGAAUUCCAGGUGUAGCGGUGAAAUGCGUAGAUAUCUGGAGGAACACCGGUGGCGAAGGCGGCAUCCUGGACCGGUAUUGACGCUGAGGCGCGAAAGCCAGGGGAGCAAAGCGGG